GAUGAACGCUAGCUACAGGCUUAACACAUGCAAGUCGCAGGGUAACAUGAGGAAAGCUUGCUUUCCUUGAUGACGACUGGCGCACGGGUGAGUAAUGCGUAUCCAACCUUCCCAUAACUACGGGAUAACCCGUUGAAAGUCGGCCUAAUACCGUAUGAUAUCGUUUGCUGACAUCAAAUAACGAUUAAAGUUUUAGCGGUUAUGGAUGGGGAUGCGUCUGAUUAGCUUGUUGGCGGGGUAACGGCCCACCAAGGCGACGAUCAGCAGGGGUUGGGAGAGGAAGGUCCCCCGCAUUGGAACUGAGACACGGUCCAAACUCCUACGAGAGGCAGCAGUUAGGAGUAUAGGUGAAUGAGCGAGAGCCUGAACCAGCCAAGUAGCGUGCAGGACGACGGCCCUAUGAGUUGUAAUCUGCUUUUAUGAGGGGAUAAAGUGCGUGACGUGUCAUGCAUGGCAGGUACCACAUGAAUAGGAACCGGCUAAUUCGUU
rnacentral:rRNA from 1 species